AUUGAACGCUGGCGGCAGGCCUAACACAUGCAAGUCGAACGGUAGCACAGAGAGCUUGCUCUCGGGUGACGAGUGGCGGACGGGUGAGUAACGUCUGGGAAACUGCCCGAUGGAGGGGGAUAACUACUGGAAACGGUAGCUAAUACCGCAUAACGUCGCAAGACCAAAGUGGGGGACCUUCGGGCCUCACACAUCGGAUGUGCCCAGAUGGGAUUAGCUAGUAGGUGGGGUAAUGGCUCACCUAGGCGACGAUCCCUAGCUGGUCUGAGAGGGGGACCAGCCACAGUGGAACUGAGACACGGUCCAGACUCCUACGGGAGGCAGCAGUGGGGAAUAUUGCACAAUGGGCGCAAGCCUGAUGCAGCCAUGCCGCGUGCAUGAAGAAGGCCUUCGGGUUGUAAAGUACUUUCAGCGGGGAGGAAGGCGGUGAAGUUAAUGGCUUCACCGAUUGACGUUACCCGCAGAAGAAGCACCGGCUAACUCCGUGCCAGCCGCCGCCGUAA
rnacentral:rRNA from 1 species